AACGAACGCUGGCGGCAGGCCUAACACAUGCAAGUCGAACGGACCCUUCGGGGUUAGUGGCGCACGGGUGAGUAACGCGUGGGAACGUGCCCUUCAGUACGGAACAACACCGGGAAACUGGUGCUAAUACCGUAUAAUAUCUCCGGAUCAAAGAUUUAUCGCUGAAGGAUCGGCCCGCGUCUGAUUAGGUAGUUGGUAGGGUAAUGGCCUACCAAGCCUACGAUCAGUAGCUGGUUUGAGAGAAUGAUCAGCCACACUGGGACUGAGACACGGCCCAGACUCCUACGGGAGGCAGCAGUGAGGAAUAUUGGACAAUGGGCGAAAGCCUGAUCCAGCCAUGCCGCGUGAGUGAUGAAGGCCUUAGGGUUGUAAAGCUCUUUCGGCGGGGAUGAUAAUGACCGUACCCGCAGAAGAAGCCACGGCUAAAUUCGUGCCAGCAGCCGCAGUAA
rnacentral:rRNA from 1 species